rnacentral:rRNA from 1 species
GAAACCAACAGGGAUUGCCCUAGUAACGGCGAGUGAAGCGGCAACAGCUCAAAUUUGAAAUCUGGCCCUUGGGUCCGAAUUGUAAUUUGUAGAGGAUGUUUUUGGUGCGGUAUCUUCCGAGUUCCUUGGAACAGGACGCCUUAGAGGGUGAGAGCCCCGUACGGUUGAAUGCCUAGCCUUUGUAAAACUCCUUCGACGAGUCGAGUAGUUUGGGAAUGCUGCUCUAAAUGGGAGGUAAAUUUCUUCUAAAGCUAAAUACCGGCCAGAGACCGAUAGCGCACAAGUAGAGUGAUCGAAAGAUGAAAAGCACUUUGAAAAGAGGGUUAAAUAGCACGUGAAAUUGUUGAAAGGGAAGGAUUUAUGACCAGACUUUUUCUAGGCGAAUCAUCCGGUGUUCUCACCGGUGCACUUCGUUUAGUUUAGGCCAGCAUCGAUUUUCGAGGCGGGAUAAAAGCUUCAGGAAUGUGGCUCCCUCGGGAGUGUUAUAACCUGUUGUAUAAUACCGCCUUGGGGAUCGAGGUACGCGCUUCUGCAAGGAUGCUGGCGUAAUGGUUAUCAAUCACCCGUCUUGAAACACGGACCAAGGAGUCGAACAUUUGUGCGAGUGUUUGGGUGUUAAACCCUCACGCGUAAUGAAAGUGAACGGAGGUGAGAGCCCUUUACGGGGUGCAUCAUCGACCGAUCCUGAUGUCUUCGGAUGGAUUUGAGUAAGAGCAUAAAUGUUCGGACCCGAAAGAUGGUGAACUAUGCGUGGAUAGGGUGAAGCCAGAGGAAACUCUGGUGGAGGCUCGCAGCGGUUCUGACGUGCAAAUCGAUCGUCAAAUCUGCGCAUGGGGGCGAAAGACUAAUCGAACC